rnacentral:rRNA from 1 species
UACGUAGGCAGCGAGCGUUGUUCGGAGUUACUGGGCGUAAAGGGUGUGUAGGCGGUUCUUUAAGUUUGGUGUGAAAUCUCCCGGCUCAACCGGGAGGGUGCGCCGAAGACUGAGGGACUAGAGUGCGGGAGAGGAAAGUGGAAUUCCUGGUGUAGCGGUGAAAUGCGUAGAUAUCAGGAGGAACACCGGUGGUGUAGACGGCUUUCUGGACCGUAACUGACGCUGAGACACGAAAGCGUGGGUAGCAAACAGG